rnacentral:rRNA from 1 species
CCUACGGGUGGCUGCAGCGGGGAAUAUUGGACAAUGGGGGCAACCCUGAUCCAGCCAUGCCGCGUGUGUGAAGAAGGCCCUCGGGUUGUAAAGCACUUUCAGUGAGGAAGAACGCCUGGUGGUUAAUACCCAUCAGGAAAGACAUCACUCACAGAAGAAGCACCGGCUAACUCCGUGCCAGCAGCCGCGGUAAUACGGAGGGUGCGAGCGUUAAUCGGAAUUACUGGGCGUAAAGCGCGCGUAGGUGGCUUGAUAAGCCGGUUGUGAAAGCCCCGGGCUCAACCUGGGAACGGCAUCCGGAACUGGCAAGCUAGAGUGCAGGAGAGGAAGGUGGAAUUCCCGGUGUAGCGGGGAAAUGCGUAGAGAUCGGGAGGAAAACCAGUGGCGAAGGCGGCCUUCUGGACUGAAACUGACACUGAGGUGCGAAAGCGUGGGUAGCAAACAGGAUUAGAUACCCUUGUAGUC